ensembl:lncRNA
AGACAAUAUAGAAGACAGCGCGCUAGCGUAUCUAGUCUAUGUAUAUCUAUGGUCGGAACGUCUGGUAGCAUCUCUGGCUGCUGUUGAUCUUGUUUUUGGAGUAAAACACGGUGGAAGCUGAAUUAGUGAGGAUGACUCCUGCUCCUGUCAUCUCUAAGCUCCUCACACAUCUUUACCUGCACAUGAGGAAAAUCACUCCUGUAGAAUGCAGAUGUUCAGAGGGAGAUGAUGCCACAUCUGGUCCAGCCGAUGGAAGGUCUUGAAGUUCUCUGACUGGCCUCGACUGAAGAUGGUCGUCUCACUGGAUUUAAGGUUCAGAUGCUCAGUAACAAACUCCACCAAUGUGCCAACAGGGAAGCUUUAGCUUUAUUAAAUGUUGCUAUGAAGGUUUCGCUGUUUUUCUUUGUGAAUGCAAUGUGCUCCAACUGAAACUUGAAUUAGAACUUAGAAGUAAAUCCUUCCAUCUGAAAGGAUUUAGUUGCAUUAAUAACCUCAUAACAUUCUAAUUUUUCUUCCAGUCUUAGUUGGAAAUAGAAUCUCUGUAUUGAUUCAGGUAAAAACUGAACUUCACAGCAUGUUGGAGCAAAACAACCAGAUGAAAACUGUGAUGGUGUUGGAUUGUCAGACCGUAAUGUUGCAGCUCAAAGCAGCUUUUCUAUCUCAGUUCAUUCUGACAUUCAGCUAUGAAUCAACACAGCAGAUGGUGAUCCAUGCUGUGGAAGUCUCACAUCUCCUGAUUUAAUGGAGCUGCUUUGCACUUUUUACACUGUUUAUUCACCAACACUUUAUUUGAUAAAAGUCCCAUCUAGUUUUUAUGAGGAAUGUGAU